rnacentral:lncRNA from 1 species
UAUCUAAAUCAGUGGUUUCAGAAAACUCUUGCUAGUGUGGAGAUUACUACAAUAGCAUUAUGGAAAAAAUAAAUGGAAAACUAAUAUGCAUCAUCUCAGCAACUGCCAGUUCCAACCCUGUGAAAGAAAGAAUCUAGAAACUGCCUCAGAAGGAAACACUUGCUUCUCCAAAUCCAGUAACGGUCUACUGAGAAGAUGGAAUGAGGGUACUAUUACUGUGGUGCUGUCUGUAGCCUCACUUUUAGCCUAA